rnacentral:rRNA from 1 species
UUUGUGACGGUACCUGCAGAAGAAGCGCCGGCUAACUACGUGCCAGCAGCCGCGGUAAUACGUAGGGCGCGAGCGUUAUCCGGAAUUAUUGGGCGUAAAGGGCUCGCAGGCGGUUUGCCGCGUCUGCUGUGAAAUCCCGGGGCUUAACUCCGGGUGUGCAGUGGGUACGGGCAGACUAGAGUGCAGUAGGGGAGACUGGAAUUCCUGGUGUAGCGGUGAAAUGCGCAGAUAUCAGGAAGAACACCGAUGGCGAAGGCAGGUCUCUGGGCUGUUACUGACGCUGAGGAGCGAAAGCAUGGGGAGCGAACAGGAUUAGAUACCCUGGUAGUCCAUGCCGUAAACGUUGGGCACUAGGUGUGGGGGACAUUCCACGUUUUCCGCGCCGUAGCUAACGCAUUAAGUGCCCCGCCUGGGGAGUACGGCCGCAAGGCUAAAACUCAAAGGAAUUGACGGGGGCCCGCACAAGCGGCGGAGCAUGCGGAUUAAUUCGAUGCAACGCGAAGAACCUUACCAAGGCUUGACAUGGACCGGUUCGCUGCAGAGAUGUAGUUUCCCUUCGGGGCUGGUUCACAGGUGGUGCAUGGUUGUCGUCAGCUCGUGUCGUGAGAUGUUGGGUUAAGUCCCGCAACGAGCGCAACCCUUGUCCUAUGUUGCCAGCACGUGAUGGUGGGGACUCAUGGGAGACUGCCGGGGUCAACUCGGAGGAAGGUGGGGAUGACGUCAAAUCAUCAUGCCCCUUAUGUCUUGGGCUUCACGCAUGCUACAAUGGCCGGUACAGUGGGUUGCGAUACUGUGAGGUGGAGCUAAUCCCUAAAAGCCGGUCUCAGUUCGGAUCGAAGUCUGCAACUCGACUUCGUGAAGUUGGAGUCGCUAGUAAUCGCAGAUCAGCAAU